CAAGUCGAGCGAACAGACGAGGAGCUUGCUCCUCUGACGUUAGCGGCGGACGGGGCGUAACACGUGGAUAACCUACCUAUAAGACUGGGAUAACUUCGGGAAACCGGAGCUAAUACCGGAUAAUAUAUUGAACCGCAGGUUCAAUAGUGAAAGACGGUUUUGCUGUCACUUAUAGAUGGAUCCGCGCCGCAUAGCUAGUUGGUAAGGUAACGGCUUACCAAGGCAACGAUGCGUAGCCGACCUGAGAGGGUGAUCGGCCACACUGGAACUGAGACACGGUCCAGACUCCUACGGGAGGCAGCAGUAGGGAAUCUUCCGCAAUGGGCGAAAGCCUGACGGAGCAACGCCGCGUGAGUGAUGAAGGUCUUCGGAUCGUAAAACUCUGUUAUUAGGGAAGAACAAAUGUGUAAGUAACUAUGCACGUCUUGACGGUACCUAAUCAGAAAGCCACGGCUAACUACGUGCCAGCAGCCGCGGUAAUACGUAGGUGGCAAGCGUUAUCCGGAAUUAUUGGGCGUAAAGCGCGCGUAGGCGGUUUUUUAAGUCUGAUGUGAAAGCCCACGGCUCAACCGUGGAGGGUCAUUGGAAACUGGAAAACUUGAGUGCAGAAGAGGAAAGUGGAAUUCCAUGUGUAGCGGUGAAAUGCGCAGAGAUAUGGAGGAACACCAGUGGCGAAGGCGACUUUCUGGUCUGUAACUGACGCUGAUGUGCGAAAGCGUGGGGAUCAAACAGGAUUAGAUACCCUGGUAGUCCACGCCGUAAACGAUGAGUGCU
rnacentral:rRNA from 1 species